UACGAAGGGUGCAAACGUUGCUCGGAAUUAUUGGGCGUAAAGAGCUCGUAGGCGGUCUGUCGCGUCGGCUGUGAAAUCCCGAGGCUCAACCUCGGGUCUGCAGUCGAUACGGGCAAACUAGAGUAUUGCAGGGGAGACUGGAAUUCCUGGUGUAGCGGUGAAAUGCGCAGAUAUCAGGAGGAACACCGGUGGCGAAGGCGGGUCUCUGGGCAAUAACUGACGCUGAGGAGCGAAAGCGUGGGGAGCGAACAGG
rnacentral:rRNA from 1 species